rnacentral:rRNA from 1 species
AUUGAACGCUGGCGGCAGGCCUAACACAUGCAAGUCGAAUGGUAACAGGAAACAGCUUGCUGUUUCGCUGACGAGUGGCGGACGGGUGAGUAAUGUCUGGGAAACUGCCUGAUGGAGGGGGAUAACUACUGGAAACGGUAGCUAAUACCGCAUAACGUCGCAAGACCAAAGAGGGGGACCUUCGGGCCUCUUGCCAUCAGAUGUGCCCAGAUGGGAUUAGCUAGUAGGUGGGGUAACGGCUCACCUAGGCGACGAUCCCUAGCUGGUCUGAGAGGAUGACCAGCCACACUGGAACUGAGACACGGUCCAGACUCCUACGGGAGGCAGCAGUGGGGAAUAUUGCGCAAUGGGCGCAAGCCUGAUGCAGCCAUGCCGCGUGUAUGAAGAAGGCCUUCGGGUUGUAAAGUACUUUCAGCGGGGAGGAAGGGAGUAAAGUUAAUACCUUUGCUCAUUGACGUUACCCGCAGAAGAAGCACCGGCUAACUCCGUG